UACAGAGGGUCCCAAGCGUUGUUCGGAUUCAUUGGGCGUAAAGGGGUGCGAGUAGGCGGCGGCGGUUAAGUCGGGUGGUGAAAUCUUGGAGCUUAACUCCGAAACUGCAUUCGAUACUGCCGUGCUUGAGGACUGGAGAGGAGACUGGAAUUUACGGUGUAAGCGGUGAAAUGCGUAGAUAAUCGUAAGGAAGACCAGUGGCGAAGGCCGGGUCUCGUGGACAGUUCCUGACGUGAGGCAACGAAGGCCAGGGGAGCAAACGGG
rnacentral:rRNA from 1 species